CGGCAGGCCGUGGAGCUGCGGAGCCUGUGGCGGGAGCGCGCGUGCGUGGUGGCCGGGCUGCGGCGCUUCGGGUGCGUUGUGUGCCGCUGGAUCGCCCAGGACCUCAGCAGCCUCGCUGGGCUCCUGGACCAGCACGGCGUGCGCCUGGUGGGCGUGGGGCCCGAGGCCCUGGGUCUGCAGGAGUUCCUGGACGGCGACUACUUCGCGGGAGAGCUCUACCUGGAUGAGAGCAAGCAGCUUUAUAAGGAGCUGGGCUUCAAGCGGUACAACAGCCUGAGCAUCCUCCCAGCAGCUCUGGGGAAGCCCGUGCGUGAUGUGGCUGCCAAGGUUUGUGUGGGUCAAGGGUGUACAGGCCGGGGGGUGGGUGGUGGGAGCUCCCAGGGGCCUUUCCUCUAGGAUUGACCCAGGCUGUGCCCACUCCUGACAGGCCAAGGCUGUUGGCAUCCAGGGGAACUUGUCUGGGGACCUGCUGCAGAGCGGAGGGCUGCUGGUGGUCAGCAAAGGUGGGUCGAGGGAGGAGCCCCAGCCACUGCCUCAGGGAGGGCCUUGCUAAACUUGGUGGCCCAGCCCAGGCCCUCUCUCUGGCUUGUCAGUCUCAUCACAGCCCCUCCGCCGCAAUGUGG
rnacentral:sRNA from 1 species